UACGGAAGGGGCAAGCGUUGUUCGGAAUCAUUGGGCGUAAAGGGCGCGUAGGUGGUCUUGUGUGUCUACUGUGAAAGCGUACAGCUUAACUGUAUUUUGUCGGUAGAAACUGCAGGACUUGAGGCUGGGAGGGGCUGGUGGAAUUCCCUGUGUAGCGGUGAAAUGCGUUGAUAUCGCUAGGAACUCCGGUGGCGAAGGCGAGGUGCUGGACCAUUCGUG
rnacentral:rRNA from 1 species